AUACGUAGGUGGCAAGCGUUGUCCGGAUUUACUGGGUGUAAAGGGCGUGUAGGCGGAGAUGCAAGUCAGGAGUGAAAUCUAGGGGCUCAACCCCUAAACUGCUUUUGAAACUGUAUCCCUUGAGUAUCGGAGAGGCAGGCGGAAUUCCUAGUGUAGCGGUGAAAUGCGUAGAUAUUAGGAGGAACACCAGUGGCGAAGGCGGCCUGCUGGACGACAACUGACGCUGAGGCGCGAAAGCGUGGGGAGCAAACAGGAUUAGAUGCCCUGGUAGUCCACGCUGUAAACGAUGAAUACUAGGUGUGGGGGGACUGACCCCCUCCGUGCCGCAGUUAACACAAUAAGUAUUCCACCUGGGGAGUACGAUCGCAAGAUUGAAACUCAAAGGAAUUGACGGGG
rnacentral:rRNA from 1 species